AUUGGAAGGGGUGUAUUUAUUAGAUUAAAAACCAAUGCCCUUCGGGGCUUCCUGGUGAUUCAUAAUAACUUCUCGAAUCGCACGGCCUUGCGCCGGCGAUGGUUCAUUCAAAUUUCUGCCCUAUCAACUUUCGACGGCUGGGUCUUGGCCAGCCGUGGUGACAACGGGUAACGGAGGGUUAGGGCUCGACCCCGGAGAAGGAGCCUGAGAAACGGCUACUACAUCCAAGGAAGGCAGCAGGCGCGCAAAUUACCCAAUCCCGACACGGGGAGGUAGUGACAAUAAAUACUGAUACAGGGCUCUUUUGGGUCUUGUAAUUGGAAUGAGUACAAUUUAAAUCCCUUAACGAGGAACAAUUGGAGGGCAAGUCUGGUGCCAGCAGCCGCGGUAAUUCCAGCUCCAAUAGCGUAUAUUAAAGUUGUUGAGGUUAAAAAGCUCGUAGUUGAACCUUGGGCCUAGCCGACCGGUCCGCCUCACCGCGUGCACUGGUUCGGUUGGGUCUUUCCUUCUGGAGAACCUCAUGCCCUUUACUGGGUGUGUUGGGGAACCAGGACUUUUAC
rnacentral:rRNA from 1 species